UUGAUUAAGUUAAUUGUUUACAAUUAGUUUUCUCUCCAGAUUUUUAUUCACUGAUUUAGUCGAUAAAUAAUUUCUUUGUUAAUUAGCUAAUUAAGAACUGAGACAAUGUGAUUACCUGUUAAUCCUUUUUUCUUUUGUCUCUUUACUUUGUGAUUAUCUUUUCUCUUUGUUUCUGUUUAUUUGUUGUUAACUUGGACACAAAUCUAAUCCUUAGUUAAAGUUAAUUACAAUUGGAUUUUUAAUCUGAUUGUUUCUAAUGUUUUCUUCCCCUUCAACUGUGUUUCAUCCUUAUAUUCUGUAUUGUGUCAACAUCCAUUGGGUUUCCAUAGUAAAUGUCUGGUUAAUCCUUCCUGGUGAUGAAACAAUUAAUCACUUCACAGAGAUUGUUACAAUAACAAAUGUUUAUCUCUCUUCAAAGAUAAUCAAUCCUUGUUGUUAAAGUUAAUUGUUAGAUUUUUGUGUUAAUUAAUCGGCUAACAAGCUAAUUGAAAUGUUAAUCUUUCUCCUUUUUUAAUUCAGCAAAACAAAAAAUGAUUAACUCAAAUGUGAAUCUGAUAUGUCAAGUGGACCGAAAUUCAAUCAUCAAACUGAAUUAAAGCUAAUCAGUUUUCCAAUCAAUAUUGCAAUUGAGAAAUUUUUUAUUCUCACUUGGAAAAGAUUUAAACCAGAAAUUAGAUCAAUAGCAAAUUGAAUUAAUUCCAAUCAUAUUUGUAUUAACAUUCUAAUAUGAGAUCAAUUCAGUAAUUUGAUUAGAUCAUUUCUCUUGUUAUUAAUUAACACAAUGUAACUGUCACCUAAUCAUUGACGUGUUGAAGGUUAAUUGUCACAAUCUGUUGACAAAUUAAUGAUCACUAAAUUUGUUCCGUAUCACAGAUUCAUGGUUGACAAUUUAAAACGAUCCAUCAAGUGAAAAAGUAACAAUUUAAAUUUUGUGGUCACUUAUCAACAACAACAAUCAAAGGGAAAAGUGUUAACAUCAACCAACUAAUUAAGAUUUGAGGUACAAUAAUAUUAUCCAAUUGUGAAUCGUAUCAACGAUAAGAUAUGAGGUUGAAUGAUAAUUAACACCAAACAUGAAGGCGAUAAUCGUGGUCACCGAAGUCCAGUAAAGUUCAAAUGAUGGGUUGGGUGUUAAUUGAUAUUUUCUCAUAAAGAACCGGUGGACUGUAAUGGAUGGUCACAUAUUUGCCGUUCGAGGCGAUUGGUCGAGAUGGACUAUAAAUCGUUAUAACGGGAAACUUUUUCUCGAGACAAUCCGUUCGUCCGCACUUUUCAACGCACUCUUUUUGCAAUCUCUUGAUCAGCUUGAUGAAAGCUUCUUGUUUAUGAUAAGAGUCAAGUAUUUUCUUGCUUCCGUUUCCUGUGGUUAUCGCAUAUCGAGGAUAGAAAUCAGUUAAUUGUGAGAAUUGAAUAGCUGAACAAUUAUGCCAACAAGAUCGAUCUGAUGAAGUGACUAAAUUUUUAGUAUCAUGAUUGGUACAUUCAGUUUGAAAAGGUUUGGGUAGAUUAAUUUUGGUCAAUUCUCGAUAUGUUAAUCCAAAAGUGAUUGACAUUCCCUGAGGGCAGAUUAACUUAUGAAGCUCAGAUUCAUCUUUCCAAGGAACUCGUCCAGGAGGAUGAGCCAUGGUAAUUAUCUCAUUGAUACCUGGUAAAACGGUUAAAUUCAGGUGAAGGUCAAGUAAACGAAGUACCGAAAAUCCUGGAGUUAAAAGCCCUCGAGAGUCAAAGAUAGGCUCAGUCAUGUCCAUUCUACCUUCUGGAAACCAAGUAAACUCAUAACAAUUAAGACAAUUAAAGAUGUAAUUGUGAAAAUGUGACUGAUUACAAGGAGCCAUGGUCAAGCUCGGUGUCAGGUAAGCACAUUUAUCCAUGAUCAGGGAAAGAGGAACCAAAUGAGAUGACAAUUGACCCACCGUUAACAUUGAGAAGCAAAAUUUUUCACCCAAUUCAUGUUCCUUAAUUAUCCGAUCCAAUGUCCAGUUUCUCAGGUAAGGUAUUGACCGUUGUUCAUUGAUGGUACGUUUUAAUACCUCAGGAAAAGAUUUGAACAACUUGGUUGUAUUCACCCAACGCAUGAUAUCAAAACAGAACGAUAAAUUGGGUGGAACCAUUGAUUUGCGAUAAAUCAUCUUCUGAAUCAACAUGGUAUCAUGUCGUUCAAUGGUCUCCGUUAAUAUCGCAAUCUGAAUGUAACAAAAUAACGUCCCAACGAUAAUGAAGAAAACGAUGAAUGACCAACGUUUCUUGUUACUUUUCGUCUCUAACGAUGAGCGAACUGUUAAUAAACUUAACGAACUUGAUUGUUGUAAAUUAUUGAGCAAUUUACCUGAUGAUUUACUAUUUAAUUGUCGGCUAACGUUGUAAAUUGCUGGUGAUGUUAAUCGCUGAUUAUUUUGUGUUUUUUUCAUUUUCAAACUGAAUUCAAUAUGAACAAAUUGAGUUAACAGA